UACGUAGGUGGCAAGCGUUAUCCGGAAUUACUGGGCGUAAAGCGCACGCAGGCGGUCUUUUAAGUUUGACGUGAAAGCUCCCGGCUUAACUGGGAGAGGUCGUUGAAGACUGGAAGACUUGAGGCAAUGAGAGGGGUGUAGAAUUCCCGGUGUAGUGGUGGAAUGCGUAGAGAUCCGGAAGAACACCGGUGGCGAAGGCGGUCUGCUGGGCAGUUGCUGACACUGAGGCGCGACAGCGUGGGGAGCAAACAGG
rnacentral:rRNA from 1 species